rnacentral:rRNA from 1 species
GAUGAACGCUGGCGGCGUGCCUAAUACAUGCAAGUCGAGCGAACAGACGAGGAGCUUGCUCCUCUGACGUUAGCGGCGGACGGGUGAGUAACACGUGGAUAACCUACCUAUAAGACUGGGAUAACUUCGGGAAACCGGAGCUAAUACCGGAUAAUAUAUUGAACCGCAUGGUUCAAUAGUGAAAGACGGUUUUGCUGUCACUUAUAGAUGGAUCCGCGCCGCAUUAGCUAGUUGGUAAGGUAACGGCUUACCAAGGCGACGAUGCGUAGCCGACCUGAGAGGGGGUACGGCCCCACUUGGCACGGAGCCCCGCCCCGGCCCCCUCCGGGGGGCACCAGGGGGGAUUCUCCCCCAAGGGGCGAAGCCCGGCCGGGCCACCGCCGGGUGGUGGAUAAAGUUCUCGGUAUCUAAAACCUUUUUUUUGGGGAAAAAACAAAUGUUAAAGUACCUAUGCCCUUCUUGCGGUCCCUUAAUCAGAAGCCCACGCCUACUUCCGUC